rnacentral:lncRNA from 10 species
UUCCAGGGAUGUGUUCCAGGGGCUGCAAGAAGGUGGGGAAGGCACAGGAAGAAGCAAAGAUGGAACUGGAGAAAGGGUCCCAGCGUGGCCUGGGAUCAGGACCUCGAGAACAGUUCUGGGGCCAGCAUUGAACGCAAGGUGUCAGCAAGUCUCCUGCCAGAGGUCCUGACGGAGGGGCUGUUCCAGGCCAUGCUCCUGGCUUCCGGUGGUUGCCGGCAACCCUGUGCAUUCCCUGCUUGUAGAGGAACUAGAAAGAUAGAAUCUCUACGGACCCCACAAGACGACUGAUACUACAGACUAGACAAGAGCACCAGAUGAGAAAAUGGAGGUACCAAAAAGUGGGCUCUGAACUGCAGAGCCUGGCUCCAGAGCCCUUGUAUUUGACUACUGGGAUCCACCGUUAUUCUCACAGCCGCGUUUCCCACAGGGCUGCUUUGUAUGGCCUCUUAGAAAAGUCCUGCCUGUCUCCACCAUCCAGACUAUGAUGUCCGUGAGGUCAGAGGAAAGGGAGAAUGUCUCACAUACAGAAAAUGCUUGAUCAACAUUGAUGGAAUCAUAAAUGGGCCUCAGCGGCACCUGUCCUGAGUCAGCAUCUCACAGAGGUUUUGCCAGCGCCAGCCACAUCUCCAGCAUGAAGGUGAUUGUCUGAGUGUGUCCAGUCCAGUUCCUGCCUUAAUAAAAAUCACUGCUGCAAGGGAGAGGGCUGCCAAGGCCCUGCCUCCCUCCAACCCCAUCCUAGCCUGAGUCUUAACCAUUCUUCCAAUCCAGUUCCACUUUGGGCCAGUGCUUAACCCAGGGUAGCACUUUUGAGCCUCGCAACUCUUGGGAGUGAGUUUUCAUCCUAACGUUCUCAGAUGAGGAAAUUGGGCCUCAAAGAGUCCACACAGGUGAGGCACCAUGGCUCAUGCCUAUAAUCCUAACACUUUGGGAGGCCAAGGCAGGAGGAAUGCUUGAGCCCAGGAGUUCAAGACCAGCCUGGGCAACAUGGUGACACCCUGUCUCUAUAAAAAAAUACAACAAUUAGGCAAACGUGGUGGCAUGCACCUGUCAUCCCAGCUACCUGGGAGGCUGAGGUGGGAGGAUUGCUUGAGCCCAGGAGGCUGAGGCUGCAGUGAGCCAUGAUCCUGCCAGUACACUCCAGCCUGGGUGACAGAACAAGACCCUGUCUCAAAAACAAAACAAAACAAAAACAAAAACAAAGCAUCCACACAACUAGCAGGUGAAAAACUGGGGUUCAAACUCAGGCCUAUAACACUAAGGGCUGGGCCUGUCCCCACCAAAUCAGUCUUUCCUCAGACAGGCUGAGGUGUCCUCUAUAGACCAAAUAUCUGGAGGUCAGAACACUGAGACACUAGUUAUGUAAAGGCAGGGUGUGAGUUGGUGAGCUCAUCGAGAAAAUGCUUCCUGGGCUGGGUGCAGUGGCUCACACCUGUAAUCCCAGCACUUUGGGAGGCUGAGGUGGACAGAUCACCUCAAGUCAGGAGUUCAAGACCAGCCUGGCCAACAUGCUGAAACUCUGUCUCUACUAAAAAAUACAAAAAUUUGCCAAGCGCAGUGGCACAUGCCUGUAAUACUAGCUCCUCGGGAGGCUGAGGCAGGAGAACCGCUUGAACCCAGGAGGCAGAGGUUGCAGUGAGCCAAGAUUGCACCACUGAACUCUAGCCUGGGUGACAGAGCAAAACUCUGUCUCAAAAAAAAAAAAAGAAAAGAGAAAAAAGAAAGAGAGAGAAAGAAAGAGAGAGAGAAAGAGAAAGAAA